UGCAGUGCUCCGUGGGGAUCAAGAGGGUGCGCGUGGGGCUAGUCCAAAUGGGAAGGUGGAGAGAAGGACGAGAUGGCAGAUGGAGGAAGAGAGGACUCAGAAACCCUCGUUUCUUCUGGUUUGCUUCUGACUUGAACUGAAGCUCAUGCCUCCUUGAACCUGGGAACAGUUUGAUUUCUGGAAGGAGCUGCGUGCAGAAGCUCCUUUAAAACUUUGGGAUCAAAUUAAAACUUUGGGUUUUAGGUAGGCACAGCCACAAAAAAGUUGAAGCUGGCAUGUCUUGUGCAAGGCUACCUAUCAAGACAGAAAUAGAAGUGGAUCUCUGGCCUGGCCGUCUGGGACUGCGAUGUCUCAUUGUGGGGCCUGCCUGUAACUGAAGGUUCCGCAUGAGUCACGGACUUCCCUGGUGCAGGGCAGCAACCCAGGGGCUUGGUAACUGGGUUGAGGGAAAGAGAGAAGUUUUUGUUUAUGAUCUCAUUCCAAUCAGAAUGUGUCCAGACGCCCAAAUAUUUGAUUUGAGCCUGGUUGCUAAGAGACCUCCCACUGGGACCCAGCUGCCUGCGGGCAGGAAGGCGGUAUUGGCAUCAUUUCAGAUUUCUGCCAAUUUAUUUUGAAACCAGAAAACCUAGAACCUCGGCCUCCUCAAGGCAACCAGGGGGAGAGGAGAGAUCUGAGUCAGCCAAACUAGAGAGAGAAAACCCCCGCUAACCUUCUGCCAGGGAGCUGUAGGAAGGUUCGGGAUAGAAUAGAAUGAUGACAUUGUGCUUGUUUACUUCCUGGGAAAUAGGCCGGUAGGGUAAUGAAGAAGAAGUUGGAGUUCUGUGCUUAGAAAUGCAAGUGUCAUCUUGAAGAAACCUCAGGGAUUCCAGAACAAUGCUGGAUUUCCGGGUAAUAAUUGGGCGUUGUGAAGGC
rnacentral:lncRNA from 10 species